AGGUGAUAUAUUGAAAAAAGGUAUAUGUAAUUAAUAUUAUUUUAAGGAUUACGAAUCAAAAUUUAAAUAAUGAUAAAAAGAUCAAAACUGUAAUAACAGGGAUCAAUCAUAAUCAUGAAAAUGAUAAAAAGAAAAACAAGUGGAAUGAAACAUCUGAGUAACUUGUUAAAUAACCAACAGGGAUAAUAUUAGUAACGGUGAGUGAAAGUAUUAAAAUCUUAGAGUAUUACCAAGAGGUAAGAAUAAAGUAGUUUCCAACUACUAAGAAAUAAAAUUAAAUUUUAGAUUAAAGUACCGCAAGGGAAAGUAAAGAAAUAGAGUAAUAAAGAGCAGUUAUAGUAUAACGUACCUCUUGUAUAAGUGCGACAAGAAGCAUUAAUAAUUAAUGUGGCUAAUAACCACCUAACCUUUCCAUUGGUUUGACCCUAUCUAUACAUGCUGAAGGAGUAAUCAUCAGUUUGAAGCUAUAGAGACAAUGUAACAUAAUUCCUAUUAUUAUUAAUCGGAGUGCUAGGGUAAUAAUUCUAUGAUAAACGAAAGUGAACUUGCAUUGAGGCUUCGUUAAAAAAUUAUAUUUAUAUAUAAUUGUUAAGUCAAAUCUUUCUUAUACUGGGAUUUGAAAUGGAACAUAUUUAACACGAAGUAAAGCAUAGUAUCUAAGGAAUGUUAGGUCAACGACCGUAAAAUUAUUUUAAUUAUUAAUGAACUUGGUAAGCCCUUAGUUUUCUAAAUAUAAUGUUAUAUUUAGAGGUAACAUAUAAAGAUUAAUCUGAAAUUGUUAUAUCGAACUUAGGGUAUAAGAAGAUUCAAAAAGCGAAUGCAGAUUAGUAAUAGAUCUGAUAAAGUUUUAUAACUUAAUCCGAGAGGAUGCAGACUUGAAUCAUUGUGAUCUUCAUAAUUAUUUAGCUCUUUAAGAGCAAUAUUAUAAUCUAAGGCUUUCGGUAGAUUAUGAUAGAGAUCUUGUUAUAAUACAAGUGAAAAUAAUUAUUGCUAAAUAAAUGUCCCCGCACAGCGGGGGGAUGCCGGCCGUAGGCCGGCAUUAAUUGGCUAAUAUUGUAAUAAUACAAUGAAGUAAGAUUGCAUGAGCCGUAUGCGAUGAAAGUCGCACGUACGGUUCUUAGGGGGGGAAAAACCGAGAGGUUCUACCUAUCCCAAUUGGGCCAGUGAGUUAUAUAAUUUAGUGAAAAAUUGAAUAAAAAUUUUUAUAUAUAAAUAGAAAUAAAUUAAAUUAUAUAGGCCCGAAAGCAAACGAUCUACACAUGUCCAAGUGUAUAUACAACCUAUUUAAGGUUUAUAUAUGACUCAAUAGGUAAUUGUAGCAAUAAUUUCUAAAGAGGUGUGUGUAGCUGUGACAGACAAAUCUGGUUUGCAGAUAGCUGGUUUUCUGCGAAAUAUAUUUUAGUAUAGCCUUUAUACAUAUUUAAACUGGUACAGCACUUAAAUAACUUUGGGGAAUUAGAAUAUAAUUUUAUCAAAAUAUUUAAACCUCGGAAUCAGUUAAUAAUAAUAUAAGGAGUCAGACUUAUUGCGAUAAGGUAGUAGGUCGAGAAGGAAACAACCUAGACUAUUAAAUGAAUGUCCCAAAUAUUAAUUAAGUGAACAAAAUCUAUCCUACUUUUAUUUUUUUUUUAUAAAGGUUGAAAUUAUACCUAAAAUAUAAUUUUACAUUAUUUUUUCUUCGGAAAAUUUAUACGGGGUAUUAAAUUAUAGACAAUUAGUAAGUGGGUUUGACAAUAAUCAACUUUUAAUGAACAUGUAACAAUGCACUAAUUUUAUAUAUAUAUAUAUUAAAAAUAUAUAUAUUUAUUAAUAAUAGAGAAAAUAUAUCGGGUCUAAAUUAAUAACAGUAUUAUAGAUAUAAUCAUUAAGAUUAUAUGGUAGCAGAAUAUAUAAUGGAUAAUUAUAAAGAGAUUGCUGGCUUGAGUAACGAUAGAUAAUAUAAGAUUAUCCCCUUAUUCAUAAGGUUUUACUAUAAACGAACGGUCCCUAAGAUUAUUAUAGAAAUAUAAAAUUGAUGGGUGAAAGAACAAGAAAAUAAAAAUGAACCGUACUGUAGACCGACACAGGUAUGAUUAGCAAAAAAGGGAAUGAGAUAACUACUUUGAAUGAACUCGGCAAAAUAAAUCGUGCGACUGUUUACCAAAAACAUAGCUUAUUGCAUACUAGUAAUAGUAAGUAUAAUAAGUGAUAUCUACCCGGUGUUAGUUUAAUAAAUAUUAUUAUUUAAUAGAUAAUUUUAUAAAAAACUGAUAAACGGCGGUCUUAUUGUGAGGAUCCGAAGGUAGCGGUGCGACAAGAUAAAUUCGUAAUAAGAAUAAGGUGAAAACCCUUUACAAUAAAAGUCAUAUUUGUAAACCUAAUUCAACAUGCAUAAUGAGUAAUUAUUUUGUAUGAAGCUUGAAUGACAACGGCUAUAAACUUUAUCUGAUAUAAGUGAUCUGGUCUAGGUUAGAACGACAUGAUUAGUUUAUCAAAAUAGUGGAUUAAAAUCUCGUUAUAGGAAAGUAACAUGAUCAGUUUUUGGUUACUAUAUAUGAUUUAAAUAAUAUCGACGCUACGGAUAUUAUUAUAUGACUUAAUAAUAAAAAAUCAUCGGGAUAUAGCUAUAAUCUAAAUCGUUCAUUAAAGUCUUAUUACGGAAACUUGGUAAGCCUUAUACAUACCUAUAUUUUUAUAGGAAGUAAUAUAUAAAAUUAAUAUAAUGGAAAUUAUUAUAUAGUGUAGAAGGUAAAGGAUAAAUAUAAAAAGCGAAUGAUUUUAUGUAAUGUAAAAUAUAGAGUUAAAUGACUCAUUCUGAAAGGAAGCUAACUUAUAUAUAAGGCCAUAAAAAUUUUAUGGUUUGAGCCGUAAGCAGUGAAAGUUGCACAUACGGUUCUUAAGGGGGGAAAGCUUGAGAGGGCCUACCUAUCCUAACAAAUUCAUUGACGUAUAAUUGACGUCCUGCAUGAAUGAAUAUACGAUGCGAUAACUGUAUCCAAAGUAGACUCAGUGAAAUAGCAAUUGCGGUGAAAUUAGUACUAUAAUAUAUAUAUUAUAUGCCGGGUUGGUGUAAAUCCAACUUUAUAGUUUUAAUAAUAAGAUAUUAAAUGUCUUAAAUGACAGAUAAGUAUAAUAAAUAAGAAUACAAUCGAAAUAAUACUUACCCCUUAAGUAUAAGGGUAAAUUACAUAUAGGCAAUAUGUAGUUUAAUCACUAUAAAUAAAAAGGUGAAAACGGUUAAUGACAUCUUAGUUAAAGACCGUCGGCAGUUGUAUAUGUCGCUACAGACUGGUUCACCGAGGUUAGACUGAAAUGUCUGUCUAAAUGUACAGUCGGAUUCUGUAAUAUAAUAUUUAUAUUAUAUAGAGGUGAAAGAUGUAUAAAAAAUACAACUUAUUAGUACUUAAGUAAGAAACCUUUGUAGGUCAAACCUACUUAAAUUAAUCAGAAUUGGAAGAUGCCGUAUAUCCGUAGGUUGACAAAAAGACCCUAUGCAGCUUUACUAUAUCUUUAUUUUGAUUUUUAAUCAUAAUAUAUUUAUGGUUAGCCUUUUUUCAUUUAUUUCAGCAGAUUAGGUUAUAUUUAUAUUUUAAAUCAAAUGAGAUACCUAUAUAAUUGAAAAAAGAAUCUAAUUAAUACAGUCAUAAUUCUAUAAUAUAGAAUAUUAGUUAUACUAAUUGACUUAAGUUUAACUUAUUUAAGAAAGAGUAAAGAGGUUAGUUUCGAUGGGGCGUCGACAUCAGCGAAAGCAUCUGAUGUGUCUAAUAACAAUGAUCUUGAUUAAUCAAGACUAAAUGUUUAAUUAAAUUUUUUAUUUAAUAGUAAAUUACGUACAAUAAUUCUAUAUGGUAAAUAGAAUAAAAGAUUAUAAGUAAGGAUAACAACAUAAUUGUGCGAUGAUAAUAACACUAACAAGUGGAAUUAGUACUUACGUAGAGUGUAGUGAACAGGCAUAAACAAAUGGUAUGGAUGUCGAUAACGGAUUAAAGUUACGCUAGGGAUUAAUUGUUAGUUCCUUUAUAUAGAAAUAUAUAUUUAUCUACGCUUUAGUUAGAUAACUCUCAUUUGAGAGAUAUUAAUUGGGUGAAUUACAUAAAACUCUUUAUAUAUAAAGACAAUAUGUAGCGAAGCAUAUAUAAGUUAAAUUUUUAAGAUAUAUGAACGUUCAACGACUAGUAAUUGAGUAAACUAACAAUAAUAUUACCACGAGCGCCCAAUACCUAUAUAUUAGGUAAAGAAAUAGUCUGAACUAUAUAGUAAUAUAUAGAUGUUGUUAUUAAAAAAACAACAAAUAACAAAUUUGAACAGGGUAAUACCGCGUGAGAGUUGAUAUCGUCAGCGGUGUUUGCCACCUCGAUUAAUAACGAUAGUCGAGUUUAAAUAGGUUUAAUUGCAAGAAGUCUUAUAAUAGUAUGAUAAUUUGCAGCGAAUUAUUAUUUAUAAUAAAAAAAAAUAUAUAUAUAUAUAUAUAAUAAGAAUAAUAAACGUUCAACGACUAGUAGGUGAGUAAAAUAACAAUAUCCUACCACGAAAUACCUAGAAAUAUAAUAUAUUUAUAUUUUAAGAUAUAGUCUGAACAAUAAUGAAAAUUAUUGAAGUUAAUAUUAAAUAAGUUAACAAUAACAAAUUGGUCGUCUAGACUCGUCCUCCUGGUCGCAGCAACUAGGUAGGGUAGGACUGUUCGUCCUCUAAGGAGUUACUUGAGAUGGGUUAAUUACGACGUGAGUCAGUAAUGAUUUUAUCAUCUAUGGAUUUUUUUCUUAUCUGUUGCCUUAAGUGUACGCAAGGAUAAUAAGGUACAUUCCUAUGGUUAAUAAAAAAUUUUAGCUAAGAAUGUUGUGUUUACAUAUUGAAUGCAUAUCAAAUAUUAAAUCCUUCAGAUAAGUUUAUACAUUAUAGACUAUAAUGUAUUAGUUAAUUUGUAAUAUGUGGGGUUCCCCCAAAUAUACUAAUUUAUUUACUCAUAUUUUUAUGAGUAUAAAAAAACAUAUACCU
rnacentral:rRNA from 1 species